AUUCCGAUAUAAAUGGUGUUCAGAGGCGGAGUUAUUGAACAGAGUUGAUGACGUCAGUGUUAGUCCAUAAUUAAGCUCCACCCACGCAUUUCACUUCGGUUGGAGACGAAGGACACAAGUUGGCGGCGUCGUCGUCCUCCUCUCAAGCAGUUCUACACGACUUCUCUACAUGUUCCUUGUCUUCUGUUUCUGAGAUGUCCGAUUCAGGCUGAAACUCAAAUGCACCAACUGUAAUAGAAGAUGAGGUCCCUAGCAAGAGACGAGAAUUCAGGAUGGUGCAUUGUCUUCUGCACAGGUUUUAACACAGCUUGAUUUCUCUGGAGAUUCUUAACACGUUCCUCACUCGGCCUCUAGUAAAGCUGUGUAUCGCCAUGGUUUGCAUUCUCAUGCUUUUCUUUUUAUUGGUUGAUAGAAGAUGUGCUAAGAGCCAAGUCUGGUGGUGAAAAAGUACUACAGGAGUAGCAAACAUCAGAAACCUAACAGAUAGCACAAGAAGACAAAUGAUUAACAUACUGGUGACUCACAUGAUUGAUAAAUAUGGCUGUGUUUUUAUAUUCUUCUUAUUUGUGCUGAAUAGCUGCAUGUCCACUGCACAGAUUUCGAUUAUUAAUUUAAUAAUCUUCUCUCAGGCUCCAUCCUACUAAAGCAAUCUGAGAAGAGUAUGCUCUUGGGAUAGUGACCCUGCCCUUCCCUCAAGGAUCCAUAUACCAAGAGAGGCUGUGUAAUAAUCAUCAUCAUCAUCAUCCUCUUUAAUAAAACCCUUGUGUG